UGGGGAAUAUUGCACAAUGGGCGCAAGCCUGAUGCAGCCAUGCCGCGUGUAUGAAGAAGGCCUUCGGGUUGUAAAGUACUUUCAGCGGGGAUGAAGGGAGUAAAGUUAAUACCUUUGCUCAUUGACGUUACCCGCAGAAGAAGCACCGGCUAACUCCGUGCCAGCAGCCGCGGGAAUACGGAGGGUGCAAGCGUUAAUCGGGAUUACUGGGCGUAAAGCGCACGCAGGCGGUCUGUCAAGUCGGAUGUGAAAUCCCCGGGCUCAACCUGGGAACUGCAUUCGGAACUGGCAGGCUAGAGUCUUGUAGAGGGGGGUAGAAAUCCAGGUGUAGCGGUGAAAUGCGUAGAGAUCUGGAGGAAUACCGGUGGCGAAGGCGGCCCCCUGUACAAAGACUGACGCUCAGGUGCGAAAGCGUGGGGAGCAAACAGG
rnacentral:rRNA from 1 species